rnacentral:rRNA from 1 species
GACGAACGCUGGCGGCGGGCUUAACACAUGCAAGUCGAACGGAAAGGCCCUGCUUUUGUGGGGUGCUCGAGUGGCGAACGGGUGAGUAACACGUGAGUAACCUGCCCUUGACUUUGGGAUAACUUCAGGAAACUGGGGCUAAUACCGGAUAGGAUCUCCUGCUGCAUGGUGGGGGGUGGAAAGUUUCGGCUGUUGGGGAUGGACUCGCGGCUUAUCAGCUUGUUGGUUGGGUAGUUGCUUACCAAGGCUUUGACGGGUAGCCGGCCUGAGAGGGUGACCGGCCACCUUGGGACUGAGAUACGGCCCAGACUCGUACGGGAGGCAGCAGUGGGGAAUAUUGCACAAUGGGAGGAAGCCGGAUGCAGAAACGCCGCGUGCGGGAUGACGGCCUUCGGGUUGUAAACCGCUUUCGCCUGUGACGAAGCGUGAGUGACGGUAAUGGGUAAAGAAGCACCGGCUAACUACGUG